GACAGAGGUGCCGAGCGUUAGGCGGAAUCACUGGGCUUAAAGCGUGUGUAGGCGGGCGGGCAAGUACCUUGUGAAAUCCCACGGCUCAACCGUGGAACGGCUGGGUAUACUGCCUGUCUUGAGCCAACUAGGGGCGAGCGGAACAGACGGUGGAGCGGUGAAAUGCGUAGAUAUCGUCUGGAACGCCAAAGGUGAAAACAGCUCGCUGGGGUUGUGCUGACGCUGAGGUGCGAAAGCGUGGGGAGCAAACAGG
rnacentral:rRNA from 1 species